UACGUAGGGGGGCGAGCGUUGUCCGGAUUCAUUGGGCGUAAAGCGCUUUAAGGCGGUUCGGUAAGUCGGAUGUGAAAUCUCCAGGCUCAACCUGGAGGGGUCAUUCGAUACUGCCGUGACUAGAGUUCGGUAGGGGAGUGUGGAAUUCCUGGUGGAGCGGUGAAAUGCGCAGAUAUCAGGAGGAACACCCGUAGCGAAGGCGGCACUCUGGGCCGAUACUGACACUGAGGAGCGAAAGCGUGGGGAGCAAACAGG
rnacentral:rRNA from 1 species